UGGAGAGCUUGCUCUCUGAUGGCGAGUGGCGAACGGGUGAGUAAUAUAUCGGAGCGUGCCUAGUUAUGGGGAACAACUAAUCGAAAGGUUAGCUAAUACCGCAUACGACCUACGGGUGAAAGUAGGGGAUCUUCGGACCUUGCGUUACUAGAGCGGCCGAUAUCUGAUAGGUAGUUGGUAGGUAAAGGCCUACCAAGCCGACGAUCAGUAGCUGGUCUGAGAGGACGAUCAGCCACACUGGAACUGAGACACGGUCCAGACUCC
rnacentral:rRNA from 1 species